GAAUGCUGACAUAAGUAACGAUAAAGCGGGUGAAAAGCCCGCUCGCCGGAAGACCAAGGGUUCCUGUCCAACGUUAAUCGGGGCAGGGUGAGUCGACCCCUAAGGCGAGGCCGAAAGGCGUAGUCGAUGGGAAACGGGUUAAUAUUCCCGUACUUGGUGUUACUGCGAAGGGGGGACGGAGAAGGCUAUGUUGGCCGGGCGACGGUUGUCCCGGUUUAAGCGUGUAGGUGUGUGUUCCAGGUAAAUCCGGUUCACUUUAACACUGAGGCGUGACGACGAGGCACUACGGUGCUGAAGCAACAAAUGCCCUGCUUCCAGGAAAAGCCUCUAAGCAUCAGGUAACAUCAAAUCGUACCCCAAACCGACACAGGUGGUCAGGUAGAGAAUACCAAGGCGCUUGAGAGAACUCGGGUGAAGGAACUAGGCAAAAUGGUGCCGUAACUUCGGGAGAAGGCACGCUGACACGUAGGUGAAGUGAUUUACUCAUGGAGCUGAAGUCAGUCGAAGAUACCAGCUGGCUGCAACUGUUUAUUAAAAACACAGCACUGUGCAAACACGAAAGUGGACGUAUACGGUGUGACGCCUGCCCGGUGCCGGAAGGUUAAUUGAUGGGGUCAGCGCAAGCGAAGCUCCUGAUCGAAGCCCCGGUAAACGGCGGCCGUAACUAUAACGGUCCUAAGGUAGCGAAAUUCCUUGUCGGGUAAGUUCCGACCUGCACGAAUGGCGUAAUGAUGGCCAGGCUGUCUCCACCCGAGACUCAGUGAAAUUGAACUCGCUGUGAAGAUGCAGUGUACCCGCGGCAAGACGGAAAGACCCCGUGAACCUUUACUAUAGCUUGACACUGAACAUUGAGCCUUGAUGUGUAGGAUAGGUGGGAGGCUUUGAAGUGUGGACGCCAGUCUGCAUGGAGCCGACCUUGAAAUACCACCCUUUAAUGUUUGAUGUUCUAACGUGGACCCGUAAUCCGGGUUGCGGACAGUGUCUGGUGGGUAGUUUGACUGGGGCGGUCUCCUCCUAAAGAGUAACGGAGGAGCACGAAGGUUGGCUAAUCCUGGUCGGACAUCAGGAGGUUAGUGCAAUGGCAUAAGCCAGCUUGACUGCGAGCGUGACGGCGCGAGCAGGUGCGAAAGCAGGUCAUAGUGAUCCGGUGGUUCUGAAUGGAAGGGCCAUCGCUCAACGGAUAAAAGGUACUCCGGGGAUAACAGGCUGAUACCGCCCAAGAGUUCAUAUCGACGGCGGUGUUUGGCACCUCGAUGUCGGCUCAUCACAUCCUGGGGCUGAAGUAGGUCCCAAGGGUAUGGCUGUUCGCCAUUUAAAGUGGUACGCGAGCUGGGUUUAGAACGUCGUGAGACAGUUCGGUCCCUAUCUGCCGUGGGCGCUGGAGAACUGAGGGGGGCUGCUCCUAGUACGAGAGGACCGGAGUGGACGCAUCACUGGUGUUCGGGUUGUCAUGCCAAUGGCACUGCCCGGUAGCUAAAUGCGGAAGAGAUAAGUGCUGAAAGCAUCUAAGCACGAAACUUGCCCCGAGAUGAGUUCUCCCUGAGACUUAGAGUCUCCUGAAGGAACGUUGAAGACGACGACGUUGAUAGGCCGGGUGUGUAAGCGCAGCGAUGCGUUGAGCUAACCGGUACUAAUGAACCGUGAGGCUUAACCUUACA
rnacentral:rRNA from 2 species